rnacentral:rRNA from 1 species
GACGAACGCUGGCGGCGUGCCUAACACAUGCAAGUCGAGCGAGAAUUUAGCAGAGGAUUCCUUCGGGAUGAAUCUAUUAAAGGAAAGCGGCGGACGGGUGAGUAACGCGUGAGUAACCUGCCUUCAGGAGGGGGACAACAUUUCGAAAGGGAUGCUAAUGCCGCAUGAAAUUGCUUUACCGCAUGGUGGAGCAACCAAAGAUUUAUCGCCUGAAGAUGGACUCGCGUCUGAUCAGCUAGUUGGUGAGGUAACGGCUCACCAAGGCGACGAUCAGUAGCCGAACUGAGAGGUUGAUCGGCCACAUUGGGACUGAGACACGGCCCAG